UUUAAUUCGAAGCAACGCGAAGAACCUUACCAGGUCUUGACAUCCCGCUGCCCGCCUAGGAGAUUAGGCUUUCCCUUCGGGGACAGCGGUGACAGGUGGUGCAUGGUUGUCGUCAGCUCGUGUCGUGAGAUGUUGGGUUAAGUCCCGCAACGAGCGCAACCCUUGAUCUUAGUUGCCAGCAUUCAGUUGGGCACUCUAAGGUGACUGCCGGUGUCAAACCGGAGGAAGGUGGGGAUGACGUCAAAUCAUCAUGCCCCUUAUGACCUGGGCUACACACGUGCUGCAAUGGACGGUACAAAGGGCUGCAAACCCGCGAGGGGGAGCCAAUCCCAGAAAACCGUUCUCAGUUCGGAUUGCAGGCUGCAACUCGCCUGCAUGAAGCCGGAAUCGCUAGUAAUCGUGGAUCAGCAUGCCA
rnacentral:rRNA from 1 species